rnacentral:rRNA from 1 species
AGCGAACGCUGGCGGCAGGCCUAACACAUGCAAGUCGAGCGCCGUAGCAAUACGGAGCGGCAGACGGGAGAGUAACACGUGGGAACGUACCCUUCAGUUCGGCACAACCCAGGGAAACUUGGGCUAAUACCGGAUACGUCCGGAAGGAGACAGAUUUAUCGCUGAAGGAUCGGCCCGCGUCUGAUUAGAUAGUUGGUGAGGUAACGGCUCACCAAGGCGACGAUCAGGAGCUGGUCUGAGAGGAUGAUCAGCCUCACUGGGACUGAGACACGGCCCAGACUCCUACGGGAGGCAGCAGUGGGGAAUAUUGGACAAUGGGCGCAAGCCUGAUCCAGCCAUGCCGCGUGGAUGAUGAAGGCCCUAGGGUUGUAAAGUCCUUUCGGCGGGGAAGAUAAUGACGGGACCCGCAGAAGAAGCCCCGGCUAACUUCGUGCCAGCAGCCGCAGUAA